UUUCAUGUUCCUUGAAAAGUUAAGUUUCACUUGCACAGGCUUUCACAAUCCUUAACCUCCUUAAUGAGUUCUUCUGCACUGAUGAGCACCCUAUUCAGUAAUGGUUCUUUUCUAGUUGAUUUGUCUAAUUCACAGUGGAGUAGAAUUUGUCCACCAUGGACUCCAGAAUUCUCCUGGAUUUCUUAAGCCCUCUCUGUUGCUGUUCAAGCAUACAUCCAGUUAACUAAAAUCUCUUAUCAGGAUGAGAAGCAUGAUGAGAAGCAAGCAUGAUGCCUCUUAUGGUUGAAGCAAGAAGGCCAUGUCUAUGGGCUCCCCUUGAUUUUGGGACACUGACCAUUAGAUGUCCUUUAUCAGUUCAGUCCCUAGUUUUAACCCAGAAGUGCUCAGCCUGAUCAUAGCUGAUUUUUAGAGGCAGCUCUUCACAAUCCAAUCACUUCUUGAUACAGUGAGCAUCUCAUCUGCCUCUCCCUCCCCCCCCCCUUUCCUGUUGCCUAUCUCUUUUAAAAAGCUUUUAGCCCUCAGUCAUAAUGUUCUAGUUGUGUGAUUCAUCCCACCACUUUUCUGUGAGUUUUCUUAUUGCCAUGUGGCUUCUAGCUUCUCCUUUUCAUUUCUCAUGCUGCGUGCUUUGGUGUACAGGCACUUUGGGCUGUCAGCCAUGUUAUCUUCUUCAGGAGCCUUCCCAGAUAUAUCUGGGAUAGAUCUGAAGUUUUCCACUGCAGUUUCCUAAAGUGACAGUGAUUUCUAGAACAUUCUUGCCCCAUGUAGCCAAUUGCAUUCCAUCCAACAUCAGCAGGCCCAGUUUCUCGAAGGGCCUGUCCGAGAUCACAGUACCCAUAAGAUUGAGCACAACACCAUCCACAACCCAUUGACAGAAAUUCACCUCAUCCAUUUUCCUCCUUCCUGAGUCCCAGCCUUCAAAUGGGAGGACAGAGGAGAGCCCUACCCAUACUCCCAACCCAUUCAACAGCCUCUCAGGGGACAUAAAGCCACUUUUGAUGUUUUGCAGUCUCCUUGCAGCAGCCUCAUGAGAUCCAAUGUGAAUGGAGCAGGAGUGGAUACUACCAGCAAGUCACAUGUGCUUCCACUAACAAUCCUGACCAUACUAAAUCGUUCCUACACUUCUAGCAAUUAUCUAAUGAAACAUCCAAAGAUACAGGUGACAGAUGGCAGCAGAGGGGCAGUCUGACAAAGUGGCAUCCAAUAUGAAAGUGCAUAUGGAGCAAAGUCAUAUGACUGAAUUCCUUAAUGUGGAAAAAAUUGCACUCAUCAACAUACAUCAGUGCUUGCUGAAUGUUGAUGAAGACCAAACAGUGGAUGUCAGCACAGUGAAGCAGUAGAUGGUAUGUUUCAGCAAAGGUGAUGGCAUUGUGGAAGACAAGCCAUGUUCCAGAUGGCCAUGCACCACAAAAUGUAGAGUAUCUCAAUCAGCUCAUCUGUCUGAAUUGGCUAAUGUUGAUGAACAUGUUGAAAAACAGGAAUCCUAGGCUUUUGAGACCAGGAGGAAAGACUGGAGUAAGAAAGACUUACUAUCAGUGGUGUAGGAGUAGUUAGGUAAAGUUUAAGUAAAUUUGACAUUCGAUAUAUAAUGUAUACAUAUAAUGUUUAAGUUAAUUUGACCAGGACCUGGUCAACUGCACCCACAAGAGCUGGCAAAAUGGUCAGUGUACUUCAGAGGCAAUUCCUGUAAAACACAAAGGACAGCAGAUAGCAGGGAUUUAUGAAAAAGAAAUUUUCCUUAACCAGUUUGAUAAAUUAUGUUUUGGAAUCACUAGCUGAGUGCACGAUGGAGAACAGUGGAUUUUUAUCUUGACUUUAGCAACUCUUUAAACACAGUUUUGUUUGUUUAGCACUCAUAAACAGAGUGAGAACGGCUGCAUAAGUUGGCAGUGAAGUGGACUGAAAAUUGACUGAACUGCCAGACUCUAAGGAUGGCCUCUAGUUGUAGGCUAGUCCUUAAUGGUGUACUCCAGGGACUGAUACUGGAGUCAACACUGCUGAACAUUCAUAAUGAUGCUGAUUAUGGGACUGCAUGAACUCUCAGCAAGUCUGCAGAAAUAUGAAGCAUAAAAGCUUGGCUGAUAGUCUUUUAACUAUAAAGUCUGUCAUUUAGAGGGAUUCCUACAGGCUGGAGGGAUGAGCACAGAGGUGACUGACUAAGGACAAAAAUGGCAUAUGAAAACAUACUGGACUAAGUACAAAAAAGGAUCAAAAAUGUGACUAUGAGCUUUGAUUGUCUGACACAGGUCAGAGAAAGAGGACUCAAUUGUAACUGUUCAGCAUGGAGAAGAAAAGUGUGUAGGGAAUCUUAAAAAUAUUAAUGACUAUGUAGGAGGUAGAAGUAAUGAUGAAGCCAGACUGUACUCAGUGCACCCAGUGAAGCAAAACAAGUGAACUGAAAUACAUGAAAUUCUGUUUAAAUAUAAGAAACAUACCCCCACCCCUCCACACCCACUCCCUCUUUUUUUUUUUUUUUUUAAUAUUAUGAAGGUUGUAAAAUACUGAAUUGGCUACCCAGAGAGGAUAUGGAGUUUCUACCCUUGGAUAUAUACAAAAUCAGGUUACAACCCUAUGUAGCUGAUUCUACUUGAGGGGAUUUCCACUGAUUCAAAUUCUGGCCCUGAGCAUACCAAGUAAUUAUUAAAAUGUUAUAAAAGCACUCUCCAAUUUUGUAAACAAUAAAAAUGAAAAUAAAAAAAUAGUAUAAUUAAAUCAUCAAAAUAAAUCAAACUAUAGGUUUGAUUGAUAGGAUGUUAUUACUAAUGCAAAAAAUACUUGUGCAACUUUCAUUCUGCUCUUACACAUCAAGGUUGUACUCUGAAGGACCUAAAAGUCUCUUAGGAAAAAGAAGGGUUAUGGUCAAUAAAGAAAGAUCAUCAACCAUCAUUUCUUUUGACUGGAUAUCCAUGGAGAGGUACAAGCACAAAACAUGAAACUUCCAUAUUGACCACUUACAAAAGGAAACUGGAGUCAGUGGCCAUUGAUAACAUCUUGCUGUUAUUUGAGAAGCUGUACAGUGUAUUUCAAUCACUCAUUUUCCAACAUGUGCCCAUCUUUGAGCAUUAUGGUCUUCAACAAAUUUUGGUUAGGUCAAUUGUUUGGUUAGUUUCCCCAGUGUUGGAUUGUAUUAACGCUAAACCCACUUCCUCUUCAAGAGCAGGAUUUGCAGGAGGCAGCGUAAGGAAACUGCCGCCACAUUACAGAAAGAAACGCAGCCAUGCAUCCUAAAAUGAGGCAUUUGACAAGAGAUUCUCCUGAGAAGCCUCUUGUUGACCUGCCAGGUUCAUCAGCGGGCUUUACACCGAGAUUUAUUUAUAAUCUCUGAACAGCUGAAAUGCUAAUCUAUGCAACAACAGGAAUCUUGCAGCUGACGCACAGUAGCACCAAUUCUUCCCCUACAAUAAAGCAGCAUUAGUUAUGAUAUGAAUAAUAAAGUUCCCCUCAGACUUCUGGUGGUAAUCACGGACAAGGCCCUAAUUAAAAAAUGAAACUUUCAUCUGCUUUUGUAAUUUGCACAGUAUCAUGUGAAACAGAAGAAAGAAAACAGGAAGAUUUUAGUCAUAAAAAAACUAUCUAGGGCCUGGACUCCAAUGAUGCAAUUUAUAUUGCAGUAAGAAUGUUUGUACUGUUCGUUUUUAUAACGUUCUGUUCCAGAAUUUCUGUUUUUGUGUGCCAGACUGCUUUGUAUCCCAGGAUAGACAAUUCAUAAAUAUCCCAGUUCACACCCUAUGUCUUUGCUUUGCUUUGUUUUGAUGUAGCAUUUGAGACCAUUUCCAAUGAUGAACACAAAAUAAUAAUUAAAAAAUAAAAUUAUAUAUUUGCAGAAUGUCCUGACAUUCAAAAACCAGCAAUUUUUUCACUGAUGAAAUGUUGUUAUAUAGUGGCAUACAGUGUGCAUUCCACAGAGCUGAAAACAGGUUUUUCCAUGAAUUUACUAAGAUACUUCACAUCAUGAAAGGACUGAAAGUUUGGUUACUUCUAAAUGCUGUUUCUACACAUGUAUUCUUCCUGUUCCAGUUCUAGCUUAAUCCCUGAAAGCAAUCAUUUUCUGUUUUCAGUGGGCAUUCCACUUUGAAACAUUAAGUGCUCUGAAUACAGCUCACAGUAAUGAACAGCUCCUGUAGAACGAUCAGUAUACUCAACAUCAAUUAAGUUGGCAGUUCUUGCUUAUCUUUUACUUUUGCUUUUACUUCUCCUUUUUCUUCUAUUUCUAUUUACAAACUGAAUUCUGACUGGACCUUCUUGGUUGGAUUAUUUAUUUACCGUUUCACCCUUUCACAGGCGAGUUUAUGUUAAAAAAGCCCUACAUUUAUAUUAUAGGUUAUAUUCAUCCUUUGACUUUUAGUACAUUUGGUAGGACAGAAAAAGUGAUAGAAUGCAUCAAGAAUCAAGAAUGUCAAUCAUCUCCCAAGACUUGGUGGAUUUGAAAUACUGUUCAACAUAAUCCUGUACCUAUUCAGAAACUGCAAAGGAGUUUGUAAUUUUUUCUAAGGUGUAUAAAAUAUAUAACUUUCAUCACAACACUCAAGUUAUCAGAUGAUGAGGGAAUAAGUUUUAAUUCUGAAAUCAGACUCUGUCUCUUGAGGAUAUUGACAUACACAAAUUACUCAUGGGGUGAAGACUGGAUUUUUAAAGAACGCAGAUAAAAACAAUGAAGUAAACAAAAGAAAAAAGAAAAUAAAUACUACUGGUAGGAAUUGAAAUUUACUGUGUAAUGCUUUACAGUAAAUAUCAUGGGCCCACGUUCAAUGAAAUGCGUGGAAGGCCUGCAAGACAAAAUAAAAUCGAAAGCAUGUUGCAGUUGCU